CCUACGGGUGGCAGCAGUGAGGAAUAUUGGUCAAUGGACGUAAGCCUGAACCAGCCAAGUCGCGUGAGGGAUGAAGGCUCUAUGGAUCGUAAACCUCUUUUAUAAGGGAAUAAAGGGCGGGACGUGUCCCGGUUUGUAUGUACCUUAUGAAUAAGGAUCGGCUAACUCCGUGCCAGCAGCCGCGGUAAUACGGAGGAUCCAAGCGUUAUCCGGAUUUAUUGGGUUUAAAGGGUGCGUAGGCGGCCGUAUAAGUCAGAGGUGAAAUUCUGUGGCUCAACCAUAGAAUUGCCGUUGAAACUGGGCGGCUUGAGUAUGUUUGAGGAAGGCGGAAUGUGUGGUGUAGCGGUGAAAUGCUUAGAUAUCACGCAGAACCCCGAUUGCGAAGGCAGCCUGCCAAGCCAUGACUGACGCUGAUGCACGAAAGCGUGGGGAUCAAACAGGAUUAGAUACCCCGGUAGUC
rnacentral:rRNA from 1 species